GUCUUGUCUAUGAUGUUCUAAAAUGUCUGAACCAAUGAAUACUAUAUGAUUCAAUCAUCCCUCGAACUGAGACAAGAC